rnacentral:rRNA from 1 species
GUGGGGAAUUUUGGACAAUGGGCGCAAGCCUGAUCCAGCAAUGCCGCGUGCAGGAAGAAGGCCUUCGGGUUGUAAACUGCUUUUGUACGGAACGAAACGGUCCUGGCUAAUACCCGGGGCUAAUGACGGUACCGUAAGAAUAAGCACCGGCUAACUACGUGCCAGCAGCCGCGGUAAUACGUAGGGUGCGAGCGUUAAUCGGAAUUACUGGGCGUAAAGCGUGCGCAGGCGGUGCUGUAAGACAGGCGUGAAAUCCCCGGGCUCAACCUGGGAAUUGCGCUUGUGACUGCAGUGCUGGAGUGCGGCAGAGGGGGAUGGAAUUCCGCGUGUAGCAGUGAAAUGCGUAGAUAUGCGGAGGAACACCGAUGGCGAAGGCAAUCCCCUGGGCCUGCACUGACGCUCAUGCACGAAAGCGUGGGGAGCAAACAGGAUUAGAUACCCCUGUAGUCC